AUGGGGUGUCAGUGACCCACAGCGCUGUCCUGCCCCAUAGAUCGCCCCACAAGUGACUCUCUAUGGCCGCCCUGUGACCCCAUGGAUCUCCGCCGAGCGUCAUGGCCGCCCCUCCUGCACCUGGGUAUGCAAAUUACCCGCGGACCUGGCCACGCCCCCUGAUGGGGAUGAGCCAAUCAGAGUGAAGUGCAGCCACGGCUCCGACCAAUGGGAGGUGACGCUGAGCCCUAAAGGCAAUAACGAGGCCUGGUGGGCGGAGCCUAUUGUGGCCCAGGAGCUGUUCUGGUAAGCCAACAACAAGCCACGCCCCCUUUAGUGCAAGCCACGCCCCC